AGAGUUUGAUCCUGGCUCAGGAUGAACGCUAGCUACAGGCUUAACACAUGCAAGUCGAGGGGAAACGACAUCGAAAGCUUGCUUUUGAUGGGCGUCGACCGGCGCACGGGUGAGUAACGCGUAUCCAACCUGCCCACCACUUGGGGAUAACCUUGCGAAAGUAAGACUAAUACCCAAUGACGUCUCUAGAAGACAUCUGAAAGAGAUUAAAGAUUUAUCGGUGAUGGAUGGGGAUGCGUCUGAUUAGCUUGUUGGCGGGGUAACGGCCGCCAAGGGCUACGAUCAGUAGGGGUUCGUGAGAGGAAGGUCCCCCGACAUUGGAACUGAGACACGGUCCAAACUCCUACGGGAGGCA
rnacentral:rRNA from 1 species